rnacentral:rRNA from 1 species
UGGGAAUAUUGGGCAAUGGACGCAAGUCUGACCCAGCAACGCCGCGUGAAGGAAGAAGGCUUUCGGGUUGUAAACUUCUUUUAAGGGGGAAGAGCAGAAGACGGUACCCCUUGAAUAAGCCACGGCUAACUACGUGCC